rnacentral:rRNA from 1 species
ACACUGUACGAGUUGAUCCUGGCUCAGAGCGAACGCUAGCGGCGAGCUUAACACAUGCAAGUCGAGCGGAGGGUUUCGGCCCUCAGCGGCGGACGGGUGAGUAACACGUAGGUUACGUGCCCUUUGGUGGGGAAUAACUUAGGGAAACCUGAGCUAAUACCGCAUAUGCCCUUCGGGGUGAAAGUCUUCGGACGCCAGAGGAUCGGCCUGCGGCCCAUUAUUUAAUCCUUGUUGGUGGGGUAACGGCCUACCAAGGGUACGAUGGGUAGCUGGUCUGAGAGGAUGAUCAGCCACACUGGGACUGAGACACGGCCCAGACUCCUACGGGAGGCAGCAGUGGGGAAUAUUGGACAAUGGGGGAAACCCUGAUCCAGCUACGCCGCGUGGGUGAUGAAGGCCUUCGGGUUGUAAAGCCCUGUCGAGGGGGACGAAGUUCUGACGGUACCCCUCAAGAAAGCACCGGCUAACUCCGUG